rnacentral:rRNA from 1 species
AGGACGAACGCUGGCGGCGCGCUUAACACAUGCAAGUCGAACGGGGUUCGCCCUUCGGGGUGGGCUUAGUGGCGAACGGGUGCGUAACACGUGAGCAACCUGCCCAUGCAUGGGGGAUAACCCGGGGAAACCCGGGCUAAUACCGCAUACGUUCUCCGGGUGGAGUCACCUGGAGAGGAAAGCUCCUCUAAAGGGAGCGUGCGUGGAGGGGCUCGCGGCGUAUCAGGUAGAUGGUGAGGUAACGGCUCACCAUGCCUACGACGCGUAGCCGAUCUGAGAGGAUGAUCGGCCACAUUGGGACUGAGAUACGGCCCAGACUCCUACGGGAGGCAGCAGUGGGAAUCUGCGCAAUGGGCGAAAGCCUGACGCAGCGACGCCGCGUGGCGGAGGAAGCUCUUCGGGUGUAAACCGCGUGGUCGGGGGAAGAACGGGCGGUGGGAGGCGAAGUGCCGUGCGUUUUGACCGGUACCCCAGACGGAAGCACCGGCUAACUCUGUGCCAGCAGCCG